UUCUUAUCCAGAUUGGUAAAGGGAAUGGCCCUGCGAAGCCAAAGCAACAGGCUGCAAGCCGCAGUACUGUGCUAAUUCCAGGUGUUUGUCACCGAAGAUAAGAA
rfam:Bacillus gobiensis strain FJAT-4402 chromosome.